rnacentral:rRNA from 1 species
AAUCAACGCUGGCGGCGUGCGUAACACAUGCAAGUCGAACGCGAAAGCGGGAGCAAUCCUGUUAGUAGAGUGGCAAACGGGUGAGUAACACGUGGAUAACUUACCUGUGGGUGAGGAAUAACUCGUCGAAAGGCGGGCUAAUACCGCAUAACAUUCCUGGGGCACAAGUCACGGGAAUCAAAGCCUGAGAGGGCGCCUGCAGAGAGGUCCGCGGCUGAUUAGCUAGUUGGUGGGGUAAAGGCCUACCAAGGCUCCGAUCAGUAGCCGGCCUGAGAGGGUGUACGGCCACACUGGAACUGAGACACGGUCCAGACUCCUACGGGAGGCAGCAGUGGGGAAUUUUCCGCAAUGGGCGAAAGCCUGACGGAGCAAUACCGCGUGAGGGAAGAAUGCCUAUGGGUUGUAAACCUCUUUUCAGGGAGGAAUAAAAUGACGUGUACCUGAAGAAUAAGCAUCGGCUAACUCCGUG